AAAGUUUGACAUAUUACAACUUACUUAUAGUUGCGUCGAUUUUAUAAAUAGGAAUGACGCAUAUAAUAAUGGUAUUUGCGUCGCUCGUUCAUUGAGAAUUGACGCAAAUAACUUUGUGAGUCAAUUGCGUCAUUUCUUUCUUUACUGAGUGACGCAAAUGACCAUUAUAAUUUAUAAUAACUCUCGCUGCCUUAUGCCAUUCAAACUUCAAAACUCCAAACCCCAGCAAAUUCAACCCCGAAAUUCCCAGAAAUUCAACAUCAAAACCCCAACAAUUCGAUCAAUAAAACCCCAAAAUUCCCCUUUGCUGCUGUUUGACCACCAAAAUAUCAACGAAUUAAUAGCAAUACCGCCAGAAAUUCGACCACUGCUCGAAAAUCCAAGCUAAUGUGAGGAAAAAUCCCCUAUAUUCGAGCAAAUCCAAGGAGAAAUUCAAUAUUUUCGAGCAAAAAAUCGACCCAAAACCCCCACAAAAUACAACUGCAGAAUAUUGAGCAAAUUUACCCUAAAUUCCCGAGCAUAAUUGUGAGAAAAUUUAAGUUUGAGUUUCGAAUUUAGGGUUCAUUUUUUGUUCUGCGAUUGCAGAUUUUACACACAGAUCUAAGCAAGAAGGUUGGAUUUUCGUUCAAAUUAGUGGCAAUUUGUUAUGAUUCAUAUGGAAUUUUUGCUCUAUUGUUGCUGAAGUUGCAAAAUUGAUUUCAAGCAAGGAGCUGGUCACUUUAAACUUUUUAUUUGCAAGAGAAAAAUGAAUUGGACUUCCAUUAUGGACUUGUUCGUGUUAGAGAAAAUGAAGAUUUUGUCCCUAAAUUGAUUUCUGCUGUGGCUUCAAAUUCCAUUUAUUUUAUUGGAUUAUUUUGUUUUUGUUUCUAGGCUUGAAAUGAACGCAUUUGGUUUAUCAACAUUUGGGUUGGUCUGGCUUGUGUUAUUGAUGAUGAAAAUGUCAAUAUUGUCGAGUGUAAACUUAUUUGACAGGUUGCUAAUACAAGACGCCAUCAUUCCCAAAUUAAUGGGUAGGCUAAAAUACAAAGGAAAUUCUGUCGAAA